rfam:Pongo abelii chromosome 1.
UCGAAGAGGCCAUACCACCCUGAACACGCCUGAUCUCGGAAACUAAGCAGGGUCGGGCCUGGUUAGUACUUGGACGGGAGACUGCCUGGGAAUAAGCGGUGCUGUAGGCU